rnacentral:lncRNA from 1 species
UUUAACUACAGUGUUUCAUUUUCAACUCAUAUUCACAUUGCACUUGUUUAAGACUGGACAGAUUUUCUAGUCAUAAUUGAAAAAAAUGUUCACUGUCUCAUUUUUUAUGUAAGUUAUUUUUUCCUUAUUUUUCUGACCUGCACUGGGAAAUAAAGUCUUAAGACACAAAUGCAAAGUAUAUUAUUUCUUGAUUUAUCAGGUUAUUCUGAAUUUUAAUCCUAGCUUUCAAACUAAUAAAAAUAAGCUUUCUCAUCCUCUUAUCCCACUGCAAUCUUUGUCUUUACUUGAAUUACUUCUCUGCCAACCUAGGAUCCCUCCACUCCCUAAACUCUGAUUAGCCCAUGUCCUCCCAGGAAGUCCAGUGUGAUUAACUCUAUAGAUUUCUAAUUGCUUCUUUACAUACUUUCUAAUUUACAUGCAUAAAUUACAUAAUUUCUAAAUUACAUAAUUUCUAAUUGCAUAUUUACAUACUCAGUUCGAUGUAAUUUUACAAAGGCUCCUGAAGUUUUUUUCAAGUACAUAUUUCAGUCAUUUAAAAAAAAAAAAAAAGACUUAAUCUUAAAACCUUCUGUUUAAUUUUUGUCUUCUAUCCAAACCAGUACCUAAAUGCAGAAAACAUCAUAAAAAUCUCAUGACUAUGCCAUCUGUAUUUUGAAUGAGCAUACAAUAAUUUGGGUCAUUAUUAAAAUAGCAAAAGUCUAACUUAGGCCCAUAUAUUAUAUGUUCUCUCAGACUGAAACUGACUUAGUUACUGUCUACUCAUUUAAGACUGAAAGUCUUUACCACUGGAUCCCUAAGCUGUAUUUUCCUAGGAUAGUGAGAAAUGCAUUUUGCAAUAAGAGACAAAGUAUUUAAAAAUCAGGAUAGAUUACAUCCAUUAUUCUUGCCUCAACCAUCUAGGCUUUUCUCCCUGGAUCUCCCUUCAUUCAGAUUUUAUUCUGAAUGAAGCUAUGACUGUUAACCAAUACUCUAUUCUCUUCAUGGUGAUCAAGAGAUAUAUUCACAGGAUGAUUAAGGGCUAGGAUUAUAAUUUUCCUGGAUCAUUCUUUUUGUCAUUCCUUUAAUAUGUAAGUAUUUUUCCAUUAUAAAAUUACUACAGGAAUAUGUGCUUAUUGUUAGAAAUAAACCCAAGUAAUAAUACUCAAGUACGCAAAACAGUAAGAGUUCUUCAACCUUCCAGCAUCCCGCAUACACACUUUAUAUAAACUAAGGACAUAAUUUGGUACAUUAUUUUCCUGGCUAUUUCUUAAUGUAUUUAGAAAAUAUAAGGCAUAUAUUUUAUAUAUUUUUUAAUUUCAUAAAUUAUACAUAUACACAAUGUAUGCACAUAUAUAUACUUAUGAUUGAUGCACAGUAAUGUUUUAUUUUUUUUACAUGAAUGGGAUCAUACUGUGUACAUUAUUUUGUGACUUGGUUACAACUCAGCUUACCUUAGAGAUCUUUCCAGGAUUUUAGCCUACAAGUCAAAGUUUACAUGGUUGUUAUUACCUUUUAUCUUUAAAUACUACAGGGAGUAUUUCCUAACUUUCUACCAAUAGUAUUCUAAAAUAAAUGGAUCAUUACUUUCAGUGCCAAGGAAAAUGAGGAGUUCCCGUCGUGGCUCAGUGGUUAACGAAUCCAACUAGGAACCAUGAGGUUGCGGGUUCGAUCCCUGGCCUUGCUCAGUGGGUUGAGGAUCCGGCAUUGCCAUGAGCUGUGGUGUAGGUUGCAGACGCUGCUUGGAUCCCGCAUUGCUAUGGCUAUGGUGUAGGCCUGCGGCUACAGCUCUGAUUAGACCCCUAGCCUGGGGAACCUCCAUAUGCCGCAGGAGCGGCCCAAGAAAUGGCAAAAAGACAAAAAAAAAAAAAAAAAU